GACGUAGGAUGCAAGCGUUGUCCGGAAUUAUUGGGCGUAAAGAGUUCGUAGGUGGUUUGCCAAGUCUGACGUUAAAGCCCGAAGCUCAACUUCGGUUCGGCAUCGGAAACUGGCAGGCUAGAGUCUGGUAGAGGCAAGGGGAAUUCCCGGUGUAGCGGUGAAAUGCGCAGAUAUCAGGAAGAACACCCGUGGCGAAGGCGGCUCUCUGGGACGGUACUGACGCUGAGACGCGAAAGCGUGGGGAGCGAACAGG
rnacentral:rRNA from 1 species